rnacentral:rRNA from 1 species
UAGCGGCGGAUGGGUGAGUAACGCGUGAGAAACCUGCCUUUUACAAGGGGAUAGCCUCGAGAAAUCGGGAUUAAUACCCUAUGAUACUAUUUAGUCGCAUGACUUAAUAGUUAAAGCGUAAAGCGGUAAAAGAUGGUCUCGCGUCCCAUUAGUUAGUUGGUGAGAUAAAAGCUCACCAAGACUACGAUGGGUAGCCGGCCUGAGAGGGUGACCGGCCACACUGGAACUGAGACACGGCCCAGACUCCUACGGGAGGCAGCAGUAGGGAAUCUUCCACAAUGGGUGCAAACCUGAUGGAGCAAUGCCGCGUGAAUGAAGAAGGUCUUCGGAUCGUAAAGUUCUGUUAUUAGUGAAGAACAAAUCGAGGAGUAACUGUCUCGAUUUUGACGGUAACUAACCAGAAAGUCACGGCUAACUACGUGCCAGCAGCCGCGGUAAUACGUAGGGGGCAAGCGUUGUCCGGAUUUAUUGGGCGUAAAGGGUUCGCAGGUGGCCUUUUAAGUCAGAUGUGAAAGAUCACAGCUCAACUGUGGUAAGCAUUUGAAACUGAAAGGCUUGAGUUAAGGAGAGGAAAGUGGAAUUCCUAGUGUAGCGGUGAAAUGCGUAGAUAUUAGGAGGAAUACCAGUGGCGAAGGCGACUUUCUGGACUUAUACUGACACUGAGGAACGAAAGCGUGGGGAGCAAACAGGAUUAGAUACCCUGGUAGUCCAUGCCGUAAACGAUGAGUGCUAGGUGUCGGGGGUCAAACCUCGGUGCCGGAGCUAACGCA